GCUUAGUGGUAGAGCAGGGGACUCACAAUCACAAGGUCCCAGGUUCAAACCCCACCUGC
rnacentral:tRNA from 1 species